CCCAGUGUGGUGCAGUGGUUUGAAUGUUGGAUUAUGACUCAGGAGACCAGGGAUUGAUUCCCCACGCUGUUA
rnacentral:tRNA from 1 species